CAGCGRRGAAGAAAGCGUGCCGUUUAAUMCMCGGUACGGACGACAUCACUCGCAGAAGAAGCACCGGCUAACUCCGUGCCAGCAGCCGCGGUAAUACGGAGGGUGCAAGCGUUAAUCGGAAUUACUGGGCGUAAAGCGCGCGUAGGCGGCGUGUCACGCCGGGUGUGAAAGCCCCGGGCUCAACCUGGGAACGGCAUCCGGAACGGGCAGGCUAGAGUGCAGGAGAGGAAGGUAGAAUUCCCGGUGUAGCGGUGAAAUGCGUAGAGAUCGGGAGGAAUACCAGUGGCGAAGGCGGCCUUCUGGACUGACACUGACGCUGAGGUGCGAAAGCGUGGGUAGCAAACAGGAUUAGAUACCCUGGUAGUCCACGCCGUAAACGAUGUCGACUAGCCGUUGGGUCCCUUGAGGACUUAGUGGCGCAGUUAACGCGAUAAGUCGACCGCCUGGGGAGUACGGCCGCAAGGUUAAAACUCAAAUGAAUUGACGGGGGCCCGCACAAGCGGUGGAGCAUGUGGUUUAAUUCGAUGCAACGCGAAGAACCUUACCUACCCUUGACAUCCUGCGAACCCGGAAGAGAUUCCGGGGUGCCUUCGGGAGCGCARARACAGGUGCUGCAUGGCUGUCGUCASCUCSUGUUGUGAAAWGUUGGGNUUAA
rnacentral:rRNA from 1 species